rnacentral:lncRNA from 1 species
AACUUGAUGGGGCUUGCCAACUGAUACUGUUUAUCAUCAAAAAUUAUAAUGUAAGCGUCUCACUUCAUGCAUGAAUGAUUACAGCUUAUGUGAUUUGAUUGGAAAAUAACUACAUGGAAAAUGAUUUGGUGGCAUAGUGCAGCAUUGUCAAAAAAUAAUGGUGAACUGUAAAUUCAUUGAUUAAUGAGAAAAUGGGACAGUCUUAGGUUCUCCAUAAUAAUUUCAGUAGUGAUUUUCCUUGAUACAUGUAAAAUGUUUGCUUUCACAUUACACAUAUUUCACAUUUUUGUGUUUGUCAAGAAUUCACAUGGGUACCACCUUAAUGCUAGUUUAUGAUUUUACAGUAUAUAACUAUAUCUUACAACAGAAAAUGUAGACAAAAUAUUUUCCAUAUGAGUUUCAUCAAAAUUGAAACUUUUCAAUAACAAAUUAGUUUUGUACUAAUAAAAUUGAGAAUGGAAAUUGGGAAUAUGUCAGAGACAACAACCCGACCAUAGAAAAAACAAGACUAGUUAGAUUUGGGACCAUCACAGAAUAGACCACUCUGAUACUUGUGUCUGUUCUGGUUUUCUCCCUCCUUUUUUUUUUUUUUGAAAUUUUCACUUGUACCUGUAUAGAGAAUUACACAUUUUUCUCUACUUUUAAAUUUAUAUAUAGAAGUUAAAUAUGUGCAAGACAAAAUCUCAAAAAAGAAAAUUCACACUCAAUCUUGUGGAAUAAUUCUCUUUAUCAUGUAUGAAAGUUGCAUUUAUUUAUCAGGUAUUACGAUCAACUGCUGCAGAUUCACAAAUAUAAAUACACAGCUUAACACAACAGGGAGAUAACUCUAUAAAAUUUACCAGAAUUAGUUUUAAAUGUGGAAAGCAGUUGAAGUUGGAUGAAAACUUCAAUCAAUUAUAAUGGUUAAAAGUUGGCCAAUGAAAAUUCUGGUCAUUAAUUCAAAGUAUAGAUUUAAAGCAAAACUUUGAAGUUUGAUGUCUAUAACAGGAAGUUUAAUGACCGUGUGAGAAGACACAGGGUUGGGAGAGAAGUAAUGAGAGUGGUGUUGGGGAAACCUUUACUCUAACAAUAGACUAUGGUGAUCCCUUUGGGUUUUAUGAAAAAAAAAGAGAUUUUAACCUCAUAAACAACCUUGAUGAAUAUAAUAAUGGCACGUAAUAUAUCUAAACUAGGUUUUAUAUCAAAUUAUAUAUCUGACCAAUCUCUGGGAUUUUGUGAACACAUUGAUGUAUUUCUAGCUUUGCCA